GACGAACGCUGGCGGCGUGCUUAACACAUGCAAGUCGAACGGAAAGGCCCUGCUUUUGUGGGGUGCUCGAGUGGCGAACGGGUGAGUAACACGUGAGUAACCUGCCCUUGACUUUGGGAUAACUUCAGGAAACUGGGGCUAAUACCGGAUAGGAGCUCCUGCUGCAUGGUGGGGGUUGGAAAGUUUCGGCGGUUGGGGAUGGACUCGCGGCUUAUCAGCUUGUUGGUGGGGUAGUGGCUUACCAAGGCUUUGACGGGUAGCCGGCCUGAGAGGGUGACCGGCCACAUUGGGACUGAGAUACGGCCCAGACUCCUACGGGAGGCAGCAGUGGGGAAUAUUGCACAAUGGGCGGAAGCCUGAUGCAGCAACGCCGCGUGCGGGAUGACGGCCUUCGGGUGGUAAACCGCUUUCGCCUGUGACGAAGCGUGAGUGACGGGAAUGGGGAAAGAAGCACCGGCGAACUACGU
rnacentral:rRNA from 1 species